rnacentral:rRNA from 1 species
UACAGAGGGUGCAAGCGUUAAUCGGAAUUACUGGGCGUAAAGCGUGCGUAGACGGUUAUUUAAGUCGGGUGUGAAAGCCCCGGGCUCAACCUGGGAAUUGCAUUCGAGACUGAAUAGCUAGGGUGCGGAAGAGGGAAGCGGAAUUUCCGGUGUAGCGGUGAAAUGCGUAGAUAUCGGAAGGAACACCAGUGGCGAAAGCGGCUUCCUGGUCCAGCACCGACGCUCAGGCGCGACAGCGUGGGGAGCAAACAGG